GACGAACGCUGGCGGCGUGCUUAACACAUGCAAGUCGAACGGAAAGGCCCUGCUUUUGUGGGGUGCUCGAGUGGCGAACGGGUGAGUAACACGUGAGUAACCUGCCCUUGACUUUGGGAUAACUUCUGGAAACUGGGGCUAAUACCGGAUAGGAUCUCCUGCUGCAUGGUGGGGGUUGGAAAGUUUCGGCUGUUGGGGAUGGACUCGCGGCUUAUCAGCUUGUUGGUGGGGUAGUGGCUUACGAAGGCUUUGACGGGUAGCCGGCCUGAGAGGGUGAACGGCGUCAUGGGUACUAAGAGAGGGCGCAGAAGCCAACGGGAGGCAGUGGGGGGAAGCAUGGCGGAACGGCGCCGAGUCUGAGACGAAAGCGCUGGGAGCGUGAUGACGGCCUAUGAGUGAUAAACAGCUUUCGCAUGUGACGAGCCGGGAUUGACGGUAAUGGAUAAAAAAGCACCGGCUAACUACGUG
rnacentral:rRNA from 1 species